GCGUCACAGCAUACCAAUAAAAAUACCACACAUAAAAGCCACCUCUUACAGCAACAUCAGAGCCAAUCUAUAAUAAUAUAGAAGAACCAAUGCUAGAACUAGUAACAAGAACCAAUCUCUACGCACAACUGUAAACCAGUUACAGAAGACCUACUGAAAAUUAACAGCCCAAUGCACAUCUU
rnacentral:rRNA from 1 species